CCUACGGGAGGCAGCAGUGGGGAAUAUUGCGCAAUGGGCGAAAGCCUGACGCAGCGACGCCGCGUGAGGGAUGAAGGUCUUCGGAUCGUAAACCUCUGUCAGCAGGGAAGAACGGUCACUGUGCUAAUCAGCAGUGAAUUGACGGUACCUGCAAAGGAAGCACCGGCUAACUCCGUGCCAGCAGCCGCGGUAAUACGGAGGGUGCGAGCGUUAAUCGUAAUUACUGGGCGUAAAGCGCUCGUAGGCGGUAUGUCAAGUCAAGGGUGAAAUCCCCGCGCUCAACGUGGGAACUGCCUUUGAAACUGGCAGACUGGAGUGGGUGAGAGGAUAGUGGAAUUCCAGGUGUAGGAGUGAAAUCCGUAGAUAUCUGGAGGAACAUCAGUGGCGAAGGCGACUAUCUGGCACAUAACUGACGCUGAGGAGCGAAAGCGUGGGUAGCAAACAGGAUUAGAUACCCGAGUAGUC
rnacentral:rRNA from 1 species